rnacentral:rRNA from 1 species
GUCCUAGCCGUAAACGGUGCACAUUUGCUGUGAGAGGAUUCGACCCCUCUCGUGGCGUAGCCAACGCGUUAAAUGUGCCGCCUGGGAAGUACGGUCGCAAGAUUAAAACUCAAAGAAAUUGACGGGGGCCUGCACAAGCGGUGGAGUAUGUGGCUUAAUUCGAUGCAACGCGAAGAACCUUACCUGGCCUUGACAUGUAGAUAGUAGAAGCCCGAAAGGGUGACGAGGUAGCAAUACCAGUCUACACAGGUGCUGCAUGGCUGUCGU